ensembl:processed_transcript
ACUAACCAUUCCUUCCACAUUCACUGCAGGGAACUGUGCAAGUAAACGGUGGUCCCUGUGGUUCUCUGUUACCACAAAGGUCUAGUUACCGAAAAAUUCUCUUGAUCUUCGUUCUAAAGACUGAAGAGACGUAGAGUAUACCUGCAGUGUAGAAGGAGUGUGGACGUCAGACAUGGCUGAGGCUUUAUCUCCAGCAUAUUCUGAGUGUGAUAAUCCUGCAUUUCAACAUGACUGUCAUCAGCUUCAAGCAGAGUGGCAUGAGCCAGUGGUCCUCGUGCAGCCCCCUGAAUACAUAAGGCAAGAACCACCGGCUAAACCUGUGCCAGAUUACACCUGUUACUCCAUUUUUACCUCACUGUGGUGUUUGUGUCUGGGGAUAGCCGCCCUUCAAUACUCCAAAGCUACUCGCAGAGCUAACGCUGCUGGACGGAGAGAAGAAGCAGUGAAAAACUCUCGCACAGCACUCAUGUUAAAUCAUGUGGGUUUUGCUGUGGGCUUCGUCUUGACUGCACUCUAUAUACUCUACAAACUGUACCUCAAAAAUGAGACAUAGCUCCAUAGUGUCUCUCCAUCUUCAUUUUAAGCAAAUGUUAAGACUUGUAUUUUUUUCUGUUUUAAUUCAUUUCAGCAUUGCCUAAACCCCUUGAUGUGCAAAACCUUUUUUUAAUACUUACUAGUGGUAACACUUUAGAAUUGUGGUAAAUUAGUUUAUGUUGAUUAUUUAUUAACAUUAACCGAGUUGGUCAGCAUGGUGGCUCAGUGGUUAGCACUGUCACCUCACAGCAAGAUAGUGGCUGGUUCGAGUGCUGAAUGGGUCAGUUGGCAUUUCUGUGUGGAGUUUGCAUGUUCCCCCUGUGUUUGCAUGGGUCUCCUCCGGGUGCUCCGGUUUCCCCUACAGUCCAAAGGCAUGCACUGGGUUAAUUGAAUGAACUAAAUUGACCGUUAGUGAAUGAAUGUGUGUGAAUGCGAGUGUAUGGGUGUUUCCCAGUACUGUUUGUCUGGAAGGGCAUCCGAUGCGUAAAA